UCCCGCCGAACAAACCCAGGCAAGAGAGGGAAUAAACCCGCGGUUUGGGAUGAGCUUUGAGGCCCAUCCCCGAGCAAGCGCCGGGCUGCGGAGAGCGGCCGCCCCGCACCGAGCCCCGGCGGGCCCGCAGCCCAGGCCGAGUCGAAACAAGUGACACAACUUGUCGCCGGGUCGGUGGCGGCCCCGGCGGAGGGGAAGGGCUGGGGAGAGGGGAGGUGCGGGGGGACGCCCGCGGUCCCCGCCGCCCGCGAGCGGCCGCGCUGAGCGAGGCGGGGGGUGCGGGGGGGGGUGGCGGCCGGGCAGCGCGGCGAGAGCGGGCGCCCCCCAGCCGUGCCCGCGUCCCGGUGCUGCAUGGCGCUGCUCAGCCUGCCUUGCAGAGGGAGCUCGAGUCCCGCUCUGCGCCUCGCAGCGCCUCUCACUCCGCAGCACACGCCAGCGCAGCGAGGCGGCGGCCGGCAGGAGCGGGACACGCAGCCGCCGCCGCCGCCCCGCGGGCGGGAGCCGAGCGGACGGCGAGGGAAGCCGCGGGUGGAGGGCGCCGGGCCGAGCCCCGCUGAGGGACAGAGGUGAGGCUGACCGGUCUAUAAUUACCCGGGUCCUCCUUCUUGCCCUUUUUGAAGACUGGAGUAACGUUUGCUUUCCUCCAAUCCUCGGGCACCUCCCCCAUUUCCCAAGACUUGGCAAAGAUGAUGGAGAGCGGUCCAGCAAUGACUUCAGCCAGCUCCCUCAGCACCCGCGGAUGCAUCCCAUCCGGACCCGUGGAUUUAUGGAUGUCCAGACUAUUUAAUUGCUCCCUAAAGUUACUGGAAUUAGACAGUAUUUGACUGAUGUUUUAAAGGACCUUGGACUUCCCAAGCUCAUAAUCGAAUGGGAUGUACUGCUCGCUUUAGCUUCAGCGCUGCAGGAAUGGCAAAUGUGGUGCCAGGUGUUAAGUAGAGAGCACCUAGAGAAGUUAACAAGGUUGGGUCCUGCCCAUCAGGAGUCAGGCACCACAGCGUUUUCUGUCCACAACUUUCUCCCUACACCCCCAAAAGGUGGAAGCAGCCAUGGCAUCCACAGUGAGAUGCAUAAAGGUAUAUGUGAAAGCACAGACACUCAUGAGUCUUUCAUUUGCUGCAGUUUCCUGUGUUGCUGAAUCUUCUAGCUUUAACAUACUUUCUCAUCUCCAGUAGCGUUGUUGCAGAGUUGUAGCUGAUUGACAGGCAAGCUGAGAGGAGGGGAAACUUCUGUGAGCUCAUGCUGCAUCCUUUUUGUAUUGUCUUACCAUAAAAACACAUAAAAUGGAGCCGGAGUAAUGGUUUAAAAUAUUGAUAGUACAAAGAUAAGAUACAUUGGAGGGAAGCUGCAUUUCUGCCUCCCUUUGCUCGCUUAUCAAUCCCUGGAUGAUAGUAAGGCCAGGAAUUCAGAGAAAAGACUAAAUGUGAAGGAAGCCCAACACAAACUAAUGCUGGAAGGACUAAAGAGUUACAAAGCUGCCACAGUUGAAACUGAUACUAAAAAUCUUGCCCCAACUUUUUCCCUAUUUAGAUGUCCCUACCGGGGCAGAGCAAAAGCUGUUCAAGAGCUUCAGCUUUACCCCAACCUGCUUAGCAAGUGACAGAACCAUCAGGCAAGUGUAGCAGAUAUUAGCGUGUAAAUUGUGCCCUUAAAUCCUAGUCCGAAUAAUGUCGGUGUCCUGUUGAUCUGUGUGGCGGAAAGAAGGGUCUGCCCGGCUGCUGCGUGCUGAGGAGGUGGUGGUGAGUGAGGACAUCAGCACCUGACCCUGCUUCACAGGUUUCUCCUGCCUCAGCUCUCCUCAUCGUUGAGAAGAAGCAGAGCACCAGCGGCAGUGCCGACAGCAGCGCUGGGAGUGCCGAUACUCCCUUCCGGGCUGUGCACAACUGAGACCAAGUUCCCUUCUGAGGAUUAAGACACCAAGCUGAGUGCAUUAAUUCAUUACAGUGGGUGAACUGUCACUUACUGAGCGGCCAGAGGGGACGAGCUGUGUUGAGUCACGAGGAUGCAGCUUUGUUUCUUCAACCUCGGCUGAAGGAGAAAAUAAUUAGUUACAAAGCAAUGGCAAAAAGUGACAAUUAAUUACAAGGUGACAGGGUGUAGCCUCCAACUGUGACCUCCAGGGUCUUCAUUGCAUGAGAAAUCUAAAUCACAGGAACAAAAGAUCCUGAGUUGGCAGGAACUCCUGAGGAUCUUCGAGUCCAACUCCUGUUGGACUAUUAAAUGCUUUGCUAAAAUGAAAGAAGAAACCCCACAUCGAUUGCCUUCCCUUUGUCCAUGAGGCAGGUUGUUGCAAGAGGAUAUUAAGUCAGUAUGGCGUGGAUAAUCUGCUAAGAACAUUUCUGGGGAAACGAGAUUCUGUACUGUGAAUUUUUAAAAAGUCAUUUACAUUUAUUCUAAGCUGUCAACCCAUCACAUCUCAUGCUAUAAUUUUAGGGAGAAUGGUGUAUCUUUUGUGUCUAGCCAUAAAUCCUGCUUUAAGCUCAAAACUUAGUUCAGACACGAAUCAAAAUGGAGAGGAGCAUGAACUAUGUGUAAAAUAGCUUCUUAUGCUCCUUUAAACAUUCACCUGGGGCUGGGAGUGAACGAGUGCUGAUGAUCCCCCUGCUUUUGUUUGUAGCCAUGCUAUGACAAAUGAUCGUUUGGCUUUUGUUGUAGAAAUGUCUCUGCUUAGGAAACAGAAGUUGUUCUAGCAAAUACCUAUUCCUGGACUUCUUCUGCCAGAAGUGUCCCAGACCACCUAUUCAGCAACAUGUGCUGGGGGUAUGACCUGUCGAUCUUGGGUUUCUUACUUGGAGCUGCUUUUGAGCUGAUCUGCAGAGGAUUCAAGCCCCCAACUUCAGUCCUGAUUGUGGGUGCUCCUGAAAAUCGGCCUCCAAGCCUGUCCAAAUUAGACAUCCAGAGGCAGAUGCUCCUUCUAGAACAGCUGCCUGAGCAAGGCCUUUCCCUUUCCCAGAGACACCUUGCCCAGGAGCAGAACGGUGUGAACUGAAGCUGAGGAGCUCCUGACCACCUUGCCGAGACCCCAGGUGAACUCAUCCCUCUCGUUCCCUGCUGGUUGUAGCUCCAUGCUUCCAUCCCCCUCAUGCUGUACAAGCCCUCAAGAGUCACCAUCCCUCUCCUCCCUCAGCAUUAAGGAAGACAGUAGUGGAACUGGAGAGCCAGCAUUCAAUUAAGUUUUGGAGUCUGCCCGGAGUGCGCUUUGGUCUCUGUAUGAAAUGAGGCCCUAGCUGUCACCCUAAGAGUGGUCCUUGGAGAACAAGCCCGUACAUAUGUGCCUGACAGCCCUGUGAAGAACACGUCAGUGAUCAUGAGGAGGUUGUUGCUUUGCUGUGGUUCAAUGCAGCCUACUUAGCUGCUCAAAUAAUUUCAAAGUACCAUAGUGAAUGCCUUAGAAACAUUAUUUCAUACAAGCCUGAGAUACGGUGAGAGGUCCAACUUUUGAGGCUGCUUAAACUGGAAAUUCCCAAAGUACAACCUCCUAAAAAUGAGUUGGCAUAAAGAUUUAAGUCAUUUCUUACAUGAAGGCUGAUCAGAGCUUGAGGCUUUUCAAAGUGACAGUGUCUGCUUGGGGUCAUUCUGGCUGGUGGGUACUCUUGAUGUCACAACCUGGGCAGCUGCCCCAGCCCUGGUGCUGUGCAAGAGGAGGUGAGGUUGGCUGAUCACUUAUUUUGUGCUGAUGGUCUACAGGGGUUCCGCAGGAUGCUACUCUGAGACCAGCAGUUAAAAACCAACACAGCAAAGCACUCCAGAAUCCAUAUGCCACCCUUUAAUUAAAAAAAUCAGUAGAUGGGGAAAAGGAACAUCUUUCCCAAGCCGGAGCACAUGGGUAAUGUAACCGUGACAAAGACACCCUCCCACGGGCUGCAGCUUCUACAAGAAAAGCAAGUAGCUGCUGAGCACAAGCACGUCGCUACGAGAGGGAGAUGUUUGAAGCACUGACAGUGAUUUGGCUGACAAACGUGGUGCUGGCACACUGUCUCCUUUGAAACAGCAAACAUGCCGCCACAAAAUGCGCUCUGCGGUGCUGCGCCUGUCCGUGUGUGCUGUGAGAGCGGCUCCUGGGGAGUUCAGCCCACGAAGUGGUGCAGUUCCUGCGCAAGGACUGGGGGAGACGUCAAGUCCCAGAGGGAAGAGCUGAGUCCCCUGCGUCCUUUCAAACAGCUGCCUGUUGUGAUUGUUGUCCUGCUCCGCCCCAGAUCUCAAAUUAAAAAAAAACAACAAACAAGCAGGAUUCAAACUGCAGUGAAUGUUUUGAAUGCUGUACAAAAAAACCAAGAUUUUUGGGUUUUUUUGAGUUUAUUCCAGUCAAAAUAGCAAUCCUGCAAUUCCAGGUGACCUGGCAGUGUCCAUGGGCAGAGGUCUUUGGUGGUGCUGGCACGGACCUAUUCAGAGAAAGGGGCUGGGCAACAGAUUUCUAAAUUAAUCUGUUUGGAGGUUUUUCCCCAGAUGUUCUUAAAGCCACAGAAAUAAUGAGAUUAUGCCUUGCUGUUCCAGGAGCAGAGUCAUUUUGUCCUGCCUGCCUUGACAGAAGGCUGCUUUCCUGCUCUGAUCUCAUGGGGAGGAUACCCACGUAGGUGAGUGUAUUGAAUUUGUGGCUCUGGCCACUGGAUCACUGGGCUCUUUUUUAUUUCCAGGAGUUAUUCAGAGGAAGAAGAAUCCAAAACAAAUGUAUAAGAUGUCUGGGCCACUUUCCACCUCUCGGAUGCUCUUGUCCACAGUUGUAUGUGCCAGCUGGGACCCACAUCUCUUGCUGCCUACAGCUGACAGUGCGAUGCAGUGCUUCGGGAGAAACACUGCUCUUCCCUCCUGGGGCUUGUCCAGCCCUCACAGCAGGUAGAAGAAGGCUAAGCUUGCAGCGAUGCAGCAAAGCGUCCACUGGUUGCCCCCUUCCCACAAUCCCGUCUGCAGAUAAAACCACAUCCCAAAGUGGUUACGCUGCGGCGUGUCCCAUGGGGACAAGCCGUGCACCACGAUGUCACGAGCACAGUGCUGCAGGCUGGCUGUGGUAGUGGCAUUCUGCCAGAGCCAGCCCAAAAGGCUCUGCUAAAUUGAGGAAAAAGGAGGCUGUAACGUGCUGGGACUUGCUCAGAAACCCCAGGAAGCACUGAUGAACAGACCCUGCUUGUCCUGGGGGCCAUAAAUCCCCAGCUUCAGCACGAGCGGCCGGUGGCGCCACAGGGCAGUGCCAUGGGGGUCUCUGCUUUUGUGGCUCUAACCUAUUCCCCACUCCCCUCCCAGGGCUGUAAGGGCCAUUAAGAUGAUUAAGGGAUUGGAGCAGCUGUCUUUAGGAAGAGACUGAGAGAGCUGGGACUGUUUAACUUGGAAAAAUGAAGGCUGGGCGGUAAAGAAGACAGAGUUGAAUGCUCCUCAGUGGUGCCCAAUGCACCAAACCAAAACUGAAGUACAGGGGUUUGAGUUUGACUUCAGAAAAGCUUUUUCUCUGAGGGUAGUCAAGCACUGACACAGGCUGGCCCAUGAAGUUCUGGCAUCUCUGUCCUUGAAGAUACUCAAAACCUAACCAGAUGUGGACCCGAGCUCUAGUAGACCCUGCUUUGACCAGCAAGGAAUGGAUGAGUAUUUCCAAAGGUCUAUUCCCACCUCAGCUAUUCUGUGAAUCUUUGAUUUGUCGUGGCUUGGUGACAAGAUGUGCACCAAGAGGUGCUAAAUCAUUGAGAUAGAUUAAAAAAACAGUUCAGCUUCAUCCCCCAACUUUCUGGACCCUUAUUUGGGGCUGGGCACCAUGCUGUGUUCCCACCACAGGUACAGGAGACAGUAGAAAGUGGGGCUGUUCCUGGGGCAGCCCUGGUUUCGGUGGCUCACUGGGCUGGGCACCCGCAUCUCAGCAACUCCUGCAAAGCUCUUGCAAAAGCCAAAGAAACACCCGCACAGUGACACCAUCGCUCAUUAAAGGUUUGUUUUUAUUUCUGGUUUAAAAUCAAAAUUAGUUGUUCUCUGUAAUUACAUUAUAUAUAGAUUUAUAGAGACCUUAUAGAAAAGAAUUUUUUGCUUUUGUUUUUCUGCAAAAAUCUGUAAAUAAAAAAUAAAAUAAAACAGCAACAACAAAAAAAAAAA